rnacentral:rRNA from 1 species
GAUGAACGCUGGCGGCGUGCCUAAUACAUGCAAGUCGAGCGAAAAGACGAGGAGCUUGCUCCUCUGACGUUAGAAGCGGAGAGGAGAGUAACACGUGGCUAACCUACCUAUUAGACUGACAUAACUUCGGGAAACCGGAUCUCAUACCGGAUAAUAUAUUGAACCGCAGGGUUCAAUAAUUAACGACGGUUUUGCUGUCACUCAUAGAUGGAUACGCGCCGCAUUAGCUAGUUGGUAAGGUAACGGCUUACCAAGGGCACGAUGGGUAGCCGACCUGUGAGGCUGAUAGGCCACCUGGGAGGUGGACCGCCCUCCAGACGCCUACGGGACGCAGCAGUAGGGAACGGUCCGCAACGGGCGAAAGCAUUACGGAGCAACGGCGCGCGAGUUAUGAAGGUCCUCGGAUCGUAAAACUCUGCUAUUAGUGAAGAACAAAUGUGUACGUAGCUAUGCCCUGCUUGACGGUACCGAAUCAGAAAGCCACGGCUAACUACGUG